UACGAAGGGGGCUAGCGUUGUUCGGAAUUACUGGGCGUAAAGGGCGCGUAGGCGGCGUGUCAAGUCAGGCGUGAAAGCCCCGGGCUCAACCUGGGAACCGCGCUUGAGACUGGCAUGCUCGAGUUCGGGAGAGGAUGGUGGAAUUCCCAGUGUAGAGGUGAAAUUCAUAGAUAUUGGGAAGAACACCGAUGGCGAAGGCAGCCAUCUGGACCGACACUGACGCUGAGGCGCGAAAGCGUGGGGAGCAAACAGG
rnacentral:rRNA from 1 species